rnacentral:rRNA from 1 species
GACGAACGCUGGCGGCGUGCUUAACACAUGCAAGUCGAACGGAAAGGCCCUGCUUUUGUGGGGUGCUCGAGUGGCGAACGGGUGAGUAACACGUGAGUAACCUGCCCUUGACUUUGGGAUAACUUCAGGAAACUGGGGCUAAUACCGGAUAGGAGCUCCUGCUGCAUGGUGGGGGUUGGAAAGUUUCGGCGGUUGGGGAUGGACUCGCGGCUUAUCAGCUUGUUGGUGGGGUAGUGGCUUACCAAGGCUUUGACCGGUAGCCGGCCUGAGAGGGUGACCGGCCACACUGGGACUGAGAUGCGGCCCAGACUCCUCCGGGAGGCAGCAGUGGGGAAUAUUGCACUAUGGGCGGAAGCCUGAUGCAGCAACGCCGCGUGCGGUAUGACGGCCUGCGGGUUGUAUACCGCUUUCGCCUGUGACGAAGCGUUAGUGACGGUAAUGGGUAAAGAAGCACCGGCUAACUACGUG